rnacentral:rRNA from 1 species
AAAUACUCCUGACUGACCGAUAGUGAACCAGUACCGUGAGGGAAAGGCGAAAAGAACCCCGGCGAGGGGAGUGAAAAAGAACCUGAAACCGUGUACGUACAAGCAGUGGGAGCACCCUUUGGGGUGUGACUGCGUACCUUUUGUAUAAUGGGUCAGCGACUUAUAUUCUGUAGCAAGGUUAACCGAAUAGGGGAGCCGGAGGGAAACCGAGUCUUAAUUGGGCGUUAAGUUGCAGGGUAUAGACCCGAAACCCGGUGAUCUAGCCAUGGGCAGGUUGAAGGUUGGGUAACACUAACUGGAGGACCGAACCGACUAAUGUUGAAAAAUUAGCGGAUGACCUGUGGCUGGGGGUGAAAGGCCAAUCAAACCGGGAGAUAGCUGGUUCUCCCCGAAAGCUAUUUAGGUAGCGCCUCGUGAAUUCAUCUCCGGGGGUAGAGCACUGUUUCGGCUAGGGGGCCAUCCCGGCUUACCAACCCGAUGCAAACUGCGAAUACCGGAGAAUGUUAUCACGGGAGACACACGGCGGGUGCUAACGUCCGUCGUGAAGAGGGAAACAACCCAGACCGCCAGCUAAGGUCCCAAAGUCAUGGUUAAGUGGGAAACGAUGUGGGAAGGCCCAGACAGCCAGGAUGUUGGCUUAGAAGCAGCCAUCAUUUAAAGAAAGCGUAAUAGCUCACUGGUCGAGUCGGCCUGCGCGGAAGAUGUAACGGGGCUAAACCAUGCACCGAAGCUGCGGCAGCGACACUGUGUGUUGUUGGGUAGGGGAGCGUUCUGUAAGCCUGUGAAGGUGGCCUGUGAGGGUUGCUGGAGGUAUCAGAAGUGCGAAUGCUGACAUAAGUAACGAUAAAGCGGGUGAAAAGCCCGCUCGCCGGAAGACCAAGGGUUCCUGUCCAACGUUAAUCGGGGCAGGGUGAGUCGACCCCUAAGGCGAGGCCGAAAGGCGUAGUCGAUGGGAAACGGGUUAAUAUUCCCGUACUUGGUGUUACUGCGAAGGGGGGACGGAGAAGGCUAUGUUGGCCGGGCGACGGUUGUCCCGGUUUAAGCGUGUAGGUGUGUGUUCCAGGUAAAUCCGGUU